GAGGAGGAUUGGCAGUAGUUAGCUCAGGGCUAAUCUUCCUCAAAGAAAAAAAAGAAUUUCAAAAUGGUGACCACAGAACAUUAAACCCCAAGCACAGAGCCCCCAUCUAAGCACAGUGCUCAUGAGUCCAGUCUUAUCUCCAAUCUCUAGGACAACGCCUAGUAUGUGGUAGGGAGUGAAAGAAUGAAUGAAAGAACAGCAAGUAAAUAAACCAUAAUUCCACAGACCACUUCCAUUUUGCCUAUCUUGUGGGCAAGCUGGCUUGCUUUUCAUUAAUGAAUAACUCUUCCUUGAGAGCAUACCAUCCACAAGUCAUUACACUGGGAGUUCUGAGGGCACACAGAGAUGAAUCAGGAGCAGCCUCCUUCUUCAUAAAAUCUGCAGUCCAGUAGUAGAACUAAGACAAUGCCCUCAAACAACUCCUCUGUGAGGCAAACAAUGAAAAGUGACCUAAGGUACAGAACAAUGGCAGCUCAGAGAUCUAUAUCACUACGGGGAUCACAAAAGUUUUAUGAAAGAGGUGGCAUUUAAGUGGGCCUCUAAAAAAGAUAUGGGGUUUAGUCAUAAAGAGAACCCAGGAAAUGGUGACAAUGUCAACAGAAGGUAAAAGGAGGAAAGCCAGAAUUACAUACAGUAAAGAGGUAACGGUGCUCAGGAAAGAGAACUGGAAAGCAGCUUGGUCUUCAAACAACUCUCUCUGCUGCUUGUGAACUACAAGAGUUUUCUCUCCCCGGUUCUCAGACUUCUUGCAGGGGAACUGUGGAGGCAAGCAUGCCUUCAGAAUGAUUAAUCCACUUGCCUUCAGAGGUCUGUUUUGCUGGGCCCACAGCCACUGCCAAGAAAGGACACACUGUGACCACCAGCGCCAGGAACUGAAGGAAAUUAAUUAAACAUGGACAUGGAGUGUCAAGGGCAAGACAAGUUGGGGAAAAAGAGGAGGCCCAUCUCUGUCUCCAGAAGCAAUUUUUCUGCGUAAAGUGGAGUCAUGUGGAGCAGUGGAGGCUGCUUUAAAACUCAUGGGGCCUGCAGCAAUGAGAGUCUGUGAUUACUCAG